rnacentral:rRNA from 1 species
UACGUAGGGGGCUAGCGUUGUCCGGAUUUAUUGGGCGUAAAGAGCGUGUAGGCGGCCAGGUAGGUCUGGUGUGAAAACUCGAGGCUUAACCUCGAGAUGUCAUCGGAAACCAUCUGGCUAGAGUCCGGAAGAGGAGAGUGGAAUUCCUGGUGUAGCGGUGAAAUGCGCAGAUAUCAGGAAGAACACCGGCGGCGAAGGCGGGUCUCUGGGCCGAUACUGACGCUGAGGAGCGAAAGCGUGGGGAGCGAACAGG